AGAUUGAACGCUGGCGGCAUGCUUUACACAUGCAAGUCGAACGGUAACAGGCCGCAAGGUGCUGACGAGUGGCGAACGGGUGAGUAAUGCAUCGGAACGCGCCCAGUCGUGGGGGAUAACGCAGCGAAAGCUGUGCUAAUACCGCAUACGAUCUAUGGAUGAAAGCGGGGGACCGAAAGGCCUCGCGCGAUUGGAGCGGCCGAUGUCAGAUUAGCUAGUUGGUGGGGUAAAGGCCCACCAAGGCGACGAUCUGUAGCUGGUCUGAGAGGACGACCAGCCACACUGGGACUGAGACACGGCCCAGACUCCUACGGGAGGCAGCAGUGGGGAAUUUUGGACAAUGGGGGAAACCCUGAUCCAGCCAUCCCGCGUGUGCGAUGAAGGCCUUCGGUUGUAAGCGACUUUGCUAGGAAGAAACGGCGUGCCCGUAAUACGGACGUCGACUGACGGUACCUGCAGAAUAAGACGACCGGACUAACGUACGU
rnacentral:rRNA from 1 species